UACGUAGGGGGCGAGCGUUACCCGGAUUUACUGGGCGUAAAGCGCGUGUAGGCGGCUGGUCAAGCGUGGUGUGAAAUCUCCGGGCUCAACCCGGAAACUGCAUUGCGAACUGACCUAGCUGGAGUGCAGGAGAGGGCAGCGGAAUUCCCGGUGUAGCGGUGAAAUGCGCAGAUAUCGGGAGGAACACCGGUGGCGAAGGCGGUUCUCUGGGCCUUACCUGACGCUGAGGAGCGAAAGCGUGGGGAGCGAACAGG
rnacentral:rRNA from 1 species